AGCGAACGCUGGCGGCGUGGAUAAGGCAUGCAAGUCGAGCGAUCCCGCAAGGGAUAGCGGCAAACGGGUGAGUAACGCGUAAGCAAUCUACCCUGGACUGUGGGAUAACUUCUCGAAAGAGAGGCUAAUACCGCAUAUGCUUACGGCAUCAUAUGAUGCUGUAAGGAAAGGUGGCGAACCGCAAGGUGCUAUCGUUCCAGGAGGAGCUUGCGUUCCAUCAGCUAGUUGGUAGGGUAACGGCCUACCAAGGCAUCUGACGGAUAGCUGGCCUAAGAGGGUGGUCAGCCACACUGGGACUGAGACACUGCCCAGACUCCUACGGGAGGCUGCAGUCGAGAAUCUUUGGCAAUGGACGAAAGUCUGACCA
rnacentral:rRNA from 1 species